AUCCUUUUCCGGUUCAUAAGCAUGAUGAUCGGGUGUUCACGCAGCUAUGUGAGAUGUGCCUCCCUUAAACCUUGUUAUGACAUCAGCACAUUACCGUUCUGAUG